rnacentral:rRNA from 1 species
UACGUAGGGUGCAAGCGUUGUUCGGAAUCACUGGGCGUAAAGCGCACGUAGGCGGGUUCGUAAGUCGAUUGUGAAAGCCCUAGGCUUAACCUGGGAACUGCAGUCGAUACUGCGAGUCUUGAGUGCUUGAGAGGGUGGUGGAAUUCCUGGUGUAGAAGUGAAAUUCGUAGAUACCAGGAGGAACACCCGAGGCGAAGGCGGCCACCUGGCAAGACACUGACGCUGAGGUGCGAAAGUGCGGGGAGCAAACAGGAUUAGAUACCCUGGUAGUCCGCACCGUAAACGAUGGAUACUAGAUGUUCGGGGCGUUAACCCCCUGAGUAUCAAAGCUAACGCAUUAAGUAUCCCGCCUGGGGAGUACGGUCGCAAGACUAAA